GACGAACGCUGGCGGCGUGCUUAACACAUGCAAGUCGAACGGAAAGGCCCUGCUUUUGUGGGGUGCUCGAGUGGCGAACGGGUGAGUAACACGUGAGUAACCUGCCCUUGACUUUGGGAUAACUUCAGGAAACUGGGGCUAAUAACGGAUAGGAGCUCCUGCUGCAUGGUGGGGGUUGGAAAGUUUCGGCGGUUGGGGAUGGACUCGCGGCUUAUCAGCUUGUUGGUGGGGUAGUGGCUUACCAAGGCUUUGACGGGUAGCCGGCCUGAGAGGGUGACCGGCCACAUUGGGACUGAGAUACGGCCCAGACUCCUACGGGAGGCAGCAGUGGGGAAUAUUGCACAAUGGGCGGAAGCCUGAUGCAGCAACGCCGCGUGCGGGAUGACGGCCUUCGGGUUGUAAACCGCUUUCGCCUGUGACGAAGCGUGAGUGACGGUAAUGGGUAAAGAAGCACCGGCUAACUCCGUG
rnacentral:rRNA from 1 species